rnacentral:lncRNA from 1 species
CUCCAUCCACAAUAUUCCUUUUUCAUUUCUUUCAAACAACAUGCCAUACAAUCUUAAUAAUUUUCAACUAGCUUAGGCAAAUAGAUCCUUUCAACAACCGUAAUUCCUCACAAUAUUCAACUAACUGUAGGCUUUAAAACAUAGUGUUAAGCUUACUGUUUUCCUUUUCCACUUUGAGUCCUUCAUGUACCCAUGGGUUUAUUGGCUUACAUGUUUUCAAUUUUUCUCCAAUCAAGCCAAUCUUUGCUGCCACAAGACAUUUCUCUAAGUCACUAACUCAUUUUUAAAGACUACUCAAGCCAAAAACAAGAAUUCUUACCGUUCCUUGCUUGAAUCACCAAAACCAAGCUUUUUCUUCCUUUCUCUCUUUUUCUUUCUUCUCCUCCUAAGGUUUAGAUGUGCUGGAAAUUGGGGUUAAAGGCUUUAAAUUUAGUGCUCAAGAAGUUUGGAGAAGAAAGGAAAAGAAAACAUGGAAAGGAAAAUGAAGAAAACUUGGUUUCAUAGUGGACAAAGAGAAAAUGGCAUGGAAGCUUCAAG